rnacentral:tRNA from 1 species
AGAUUAUUUAACUAUUAUAUAAGUAUAUAUUUUGAAAAUAUAAAAAAGAAUUAUUUUCUAAUAAUCU